rnacentral:tRNA from 1 species
GUCUUCGUGGUGUAGUUGGUUAUCACGUCUGUCUAACACACAGACAGUCUGCGGUUCGAAUCCGCACGAAGACA